UGUUAGGUCUACUUAAAUGAAUAAUUUUGUGCCACUAAGUUUGCAGAGAGAUUAGAUUAAUCUUCAAGGCAAACUCUAAUCAAUUUUUGGUGUUUAGUUUUACUGUUUUAUUUUUCAACUUGAAAGUGAUUUAUGUCAUCGUCAAUGGAUUGAUACAGGUCACAGUGCGCAGAUUCGGAGCAAAACUAAUCUGUUCUAUAUAUUCUAAUAAAUAUUGUAUAGCCGUUCAUGAGUGAGGUUUACAGGAAAAAGUGAACCCUAAUUACUUCCCACUUUUUGUCAUUGUUAAGGGUUACUUCCUUUUUGAAUUCUUAGAUAGGGGUACGAUUUUUAUUGAAACGGAUACACAACAAAAUCCCAUUCUCUUUUGGUGCGAUUUGUUUGGUUUGUAGGAAGGACAGCAUGCACAAACCAGUGAUCGUGGAACUCGGCGCCUAACAACUAUUGGAAAUGAACAUAGUAGUAAAGAAGAUAGUGGCAUAAUGAAAACAUUGUGGUGUUGUCACUUCUAUUUUUAUGUAAUUGUCUUGAAGGGUUGUCAGUAGGUAUCUGGGUAUUGUCAGGCGGGGCUGUUUCUAUCGUCACUGCUCUCUUUAGAUGUGUUCAAGACACAGAAAAUGAUUGCUGCUCAAGGUCUUCAAAUGUUGGGAUUCUCAUUUUUGUUUUUGUAUUUUUUUUUAUGAUUAGAGUUAGGGUGAUUACAAGGGGUCCAACUGAUGGUAUGAACAUAGUAGUAAAGAGGAUAGUGGCAUAAUGAAAACAUUGUGGUGUUGUCACUUCUAUUUUUAUGUAAUUGUCUUGAAGGGUUGUCAGUAGGUAUCUGGGUAUUGUCAGGCGGGGUUGUUCCUAUCGUCACUGCUCUCUUUAGAUGUGUUCAAGACACAGAAAAUGAUUGUUGCUCAAGGUCUUCAAAUGUUGGGGUUCUCAUUUUUGUUUUUGUAUUUUUUUUAUGAUUAGAGUUUGGGUGAUUACAAGGGGUUCAACUGAUGGUAUGGGACAUAGCUGUGUCUCUUAUGGAAAACAUGGGAAUUUAUUCCAGCAACAUUUCAUCUUCUGAACAUCCUCCAAAUGAAGCUUCUUUUUUCAGUGCAGCUGUAUGGGCACAAUGUCAUGUCUCAGUGAAUGCAUGUAUAAACAGACUUCCUUGGUGCUAAACAAGGUAAAGACUACCAAAUAUGCCAGUUCGCAUUUUAAUUCUUUGUGCAGUUUGCUAACGGGUGCUACUCUAAAUUGACAAAGAAGUUUACGUUUGUUGUGCUACUCAGUAAUGGAAGAAAAUCUGUAAUUCGGCUUCUAUAACUGUCCAAGAUAAGAUGAGACAAUGUCUUACUCGAAUAAUCACAUUGGGAUCUCGAGUUAUCGCAUUCUUAUCUACAUAAAUAUGAAAGUGUUGGUUUUUCAGCAGGACUUCAAGGAUGUCUGCUUCAUUUUAAGACUUCAAGUGUUGCAUUUUUAAGACUUCAAGGUGUCUUAGAAACCAUCACUAUAUGAGGCAGCUUCAUAGAUCCGGUGGCUAAACAUGCCACAUGCGUAACUCUUGAGAAUCCCAGGUAUAGCUUAGAUCCCGUAUUUAAAAUAGAGUUUCAGACAUUGUGGAUUUCGAUACACUGCCUACUUUUCAUCACUGUAGGAUUCUUUUACUCAUAGGUAUGUUUAUGUUUUAAUGUGAUAUAUGUCUGCAUUCACUUCCGGAUUUGGGAAGUGUUGAUGUUCGUGCACCUGAUAUGGGCAAGAAUCCGCAAGUUAGUUCCAAACACUACUCAUAGAUUUCAUAUAUAGGGUCGACUCCAGUUAAUCUGUAUUUUGGCUUCUAUAACUGUCCUAGAUAAGAUGAUACCUGGUGGAAAAUCUGAAAUUGACAAGGUUGUAGGUACUCUAAAAUCUGAAUCACAAAAAGUUGGACUUGGAAGAACUGUAAUCUAAAAGAGAUAGUAUGAAAAAGAUGUGGCUUGGCAAGGAAAAUGCUCUGUACAAUGUAUGUUUACUGUAGAUUGUAGGUACUCACUCACCAUGCAUGUGCACGGAUACAAUAAGCAUUUUGUUUGAACUUGAGUCAUAUUUUCAAAGAGUACUUUUAAAAGCAUAAUACGUUUUGUAAUCUUGGACAUUUUUUCAUUUUACUUUUAGAAGCAUAGUACAUGAAAAAUAGUUUUCUUUCUAAUGGAAGGAAUUCAGCUUCAAUUGUUAUCGUAUCUGCCUCCUUUAAGGUAGUCUGGUGAUGUAUACUGUUUUUUUUCUUUCUUUUUUCCCUUUUUUGAGUCAAACCUUUUAUGUGUUUGCUACUCAUUUUGAUUCUGCCAUGAGUAAGGACGAAAUUAGAAUAUCUGGAAAACUUAGCAUUAUGCGGGCUUGGAAAGAAAAUAAUUUAGAUACAGGAAAGCUUUACAUCUACUACAUGAUUUUAAUGGAUCUGACUGUUAGUAUAAACUUUGUUCAAAUUUCUUUAGUGUUUAUAUCACUGAUUUAUUUUUGAACUGUUUGUAUGACCUACAUAAUUUUUGAAUGAACC